GAGUUUGAUCAUGGCUCAGAGCGAACGCUGGCGGCAGGCUUAACACAUGCAAGUCGAACGCAUCCUUCGGGGUGAGUGGCAGACGGGUGAGUAACGCGUGGGAACGUGCCCUUCAGUUCGGGAUAACCCAGGGAAACUUGGGCUAAUACCGGAUACGUGCGAGAGCAGAAAGAUUUAUCGCUGAAGGAUCGGCCCGCGUCUGAUUAGCUAGUUGGUGGGGUAAUGGCCCACCAAGGCGACGAUCAGUAGCUGGUCUGAGAGGAUGAUCAGCCACAUUGGGACUGAGACACGGCCCAAACUCCUACGGGAGGCAGCAGUGGGGAAUAUUGGACAAUGGGCGCAAGCCUGAUCCAGCCAUGCCGCGUGAGUGAUGAAGGCCUUAGGGUUGUAAAGCUCUUUCGUCCGGGACGAUAAUGACGGUACCGGAAGAAGAAGCCCCGGCUAACUUCGUGCCAGCCGCCGCGGUAAG
rnacentral:rRNA from 2 species